GAAAUGCGAUAAGUAAUGUGAAUUGCAGAAUUCAGUGAAUCAUCGAAUCUUUGAACGCACAUUGCGCUCGCCAGUAUUCUGGCGAGCAUGCCUGUUCGAGCGUCAUUUCAACCAUCAAGCUCUGCUUGCGUUGGGGAUCCGCGGCUGCCCGCGGUCCCUCAAAAACAGUGGCGGGCUCGCUAGUCACACCGAGCGUAGUAACUCUACAUCGCUAUGGUCGUGCGGCGGGUUCUUGCCGUAAAACCCCCAAUUUCUAAGGUUGACCUCGGAUCAGGUAGGAAUACCUGCUGAACUUACGC
rnacentral:misc_RNA from 1 species